CUACGGGCGGCAGCAGCCGGGAAUAUUGCGCAAUGGGCGAAAGCCUGACGCAGCGACACCGCGUGUGGGAUGAAGCUUUUCGGAGUGUAAACCACUGUGGCGGGGGAUGAAUUUUGACAGUACCCCGCUAGAAAGCACCUGCUAACUACGUGCCAGAAGCCUCGGUAAUACGUAGGGUGGAAGCGUUAUCCGGAUUUAUUGGGCGUAAAGCGUCCGUCGGCGGUUUGAUAAGUCUCUUGUUUAAGCCCAGGGCUCAACUCUGGAAAAGCAAGAGAAACUAUUAAAACUUGAGUAUGUGAGAGGUAGCUGGAAUUCUCGGUGGAGGGGUGAAAUCCGUAGAUAUCGAGAGGAACACCGUGCGCGAAGGCAAGCUACUGGAACAUUACUGACGCUCAGGGACGAAAGCUAGGGUAGCAAAAGGGAUUAGAUACCCCGGUAGUC
rnacentral:rRNA from 1 species